UCAUACAGAAAAAUGUUCUUUACCCACUAACGAAUAGCAUUAUAUAUAUACAUAUAUAUGUUCAUUUAAAAUAAUAUUAUGGGCUGGGUGCCAGUGUGCCAAACCUGCAAUCCUAAUUACUUACAUAGCUGAGAUUUAAGGUUUGUGGUUUGACGUCCACUGGGCAGGAAAAGUUGGUUAGACUCUUAUCUCCAAUAAACUACUUGCAGAAAGAUGGAAGUGGCACUGUUUCUCAAAUUUUAGAGUAUUAUGUGACUCAGGGACAGUAGUAAGGUCCUGAGUUUAAGGCCCAGAGUUCAAUGUCCAGGACUAGCAAAAAUAAUAUCAUGUGUAUGCAUAUACUGAGUAGUAUAGGAAUAAAUUUCAGCCUAUUAAGUACAAAUAAUAAUACAUACAUCAUGCUGUUUAAUUUGCAGUCUUACUUCCUACAAAGUUAUAGGCAUGGUCAAAGCUAGUACUUAAUAGUGGACAAGUUGUUAAGGAUUGCUAGUCUGUCUGGUUUUUUUCGUGUUUUUUUUUUUUUUUGAGAGUAGGACUUGAAAUCAGUAUCAUCUAUGCUUUUCAUCAUUGGCAUUUCCCCUACCACCUAAGCCAUACUUCCAACCCCUGAGCUAGCCUCUGGAAAUAGGUAUAUAACUGUUUUCUCCUUUUUGUUUUUGUGAACAAGAUUAUAACUGACCAUUCUUAGUAUUUUCUUUGCAUUAUUGCAUAUAUUUCCUGUUGUCUUGUUUAUCUUUGUGGGCCAGUGUUGCAGGAGUAGCACUGUUCUGUCAGACAGGUGUGACUCCUCCACAUGGUAAGAACAAGAAUGGAGAUGCAAGUUGUAAGACACUGAGCUGGGCGCCAGGGGCUCACCCUGGUAACCCUGGUUUCUCAGGGGCC